CGCAACCUUCCCGAAACAGGUGAAUAGCCCUCCGAAAGGAGGAUUAAUACACCGUAAGAUAUAGAGAUGGCAUCAUUUUUAUAUUAUAGGCCGCAAGGCUGGUUUUGGAUGGGCGUGCGCCUGACUAGGUAGUUGGUGCAGGUAACAGCUCACCAAGCCUUCGAUCAGUAACUGGUGUGAGAGCACGACCAGUCACACGGGCACUGAGACACGGGCCCG
rnacentral:rRNA from 1 species